rnacentral:piRNA from 1 species
UAAAAGCCGGGGAAACCCAGAAAGCUGAAGU